rnacentral:tmRNA from 1 species
CCCUUUGCAUCCGGCGCCGCGUCGUCCUAUAUUUCAAGGGCCGGUUCGCCGGCUAUGACGCUAAACCCUGUCUGGAAUAAGCGUUGUGGACCCGGGGGCAGUGCCCGGCGCCUCCACCAGUUCCGGCCCCGCCAGCGGCGGCGGGGCCUCUCCUGGGGGCGAAACAGGAUCGACACGCGUGGUAAAGAGGCAGGCUGUGUUCGGCAUGGCACCACCGUCAUCGGGCCAAAUGCAAUAGUUGCCAACGACAACUAUGCUCCGGAAGCCGUCGCUGCGUAAUGCAGUGCUGGUGACCGAUCUAAGCCCCGGGCGGUAGCACGUUCGGGCGGGGUUCGGGGGGCACCUGGCAACAGAAGCCCCCCACU